rnacentral:tRNA from 1 species
CGGGGCGUGGCUCAGUUGGUAGAGCGUGGCGCUAAAAGCGCUAUGACCUAUCGCAAUUGCUGAACGAAGCUCGAACCUUUUUUGAGCAACAAUUUCUAGCGCUGCCUGCCCCGU